rnacentral:rRNA from 1 species
AGUUUGAUGUGUUGUAUAUUGAAUAUUUUCUGCUCCAUGAUUAUUUAUUAAUUAAAUAGCCGCAGUACCUUGACUGUGCUAAGGUAGCAUAAUAACUUGACCUAUAAUUGAGGUCUAGAAUGAAAGGAAGUACCUAUGGACAACUGUCUUACUGGAGUUAACAUGAAAUUACUUAUUAGGUGUAAAUACCUAAGUGAAUAAAUUAGACGAGAAGACCCUUAGAGUUUUUAUUAUUAUUAUUGAUAUAAUAUUUUUGUUGGGGCAACAUAGAAAUAAUUUAAUCUUCUUAAAUUUAAAAAUAACAUGCCGAGCUUAUGCUAUGAUUGGGUAUAACUACCUAAGGGAUAACAGCAUUAUCUUUAAUAAGGAUUGUGACCUCGAUGUUGGAUUAGGUAAAUUUGAUAUAAGCAAUAUCAUCUAAAAGUUCUGUUCGAACUUAAGCACCU